rnacentral:rRNA from 1 species
AACAAGGUCUCCGUUGGUGAACCAGCGGAGGGAUCAUUACCGAGUUUACAACUCCCAAACCCAAUGUGAACGUUACCAAACUGUUGCCUCGGCGGGAUCUCUGCCCCGGGUGCGUCGCAGCCCCGGACCAAGGCGCCCGCCGGAGGACCAACCAAAACUCUUAUUGUAUACCCCCUCGCGGGUUUUUUUAUAAUCUGAGCCUUCUCGGCGCCUCUCGUAGGCGUUUCGAAAAUGAAUCAAAACUUUCAACAACGGAUCUCUUGGUUCUGGCAUCGAUGAAGAACGCAGCGAAAUGCGAUAAGUAAUGUGAAUUGCAGAAUUCAGUGAAUCAUCGAAUCUUUGAACGCACAUUGCGCCCGCCAGUAUUCUGGCGGGCAUGCCUGUCCGAGCGUCAUUUCAACCCUCGAACCCCUCCGGGGGGUCGGCGUUGGGGAUCGGCCCUCCCUUAGCGGGGUGGCCGUCUCCGAAAUACAGUGGCGGUCUCGCCGCAGCCUCUCCUGCGCAGUAGUUUGCACACUCGCAUCGGGAGCGCGGCGCGUCCACAGCCGUUAAACACCCAACUUCUGAAAUGUUGACCUCGGAUCAGGUAGGAAUACC